GCGGGAAUAGCUCAGUGGUAGAGCACAACCUUGCCAAGGUUGGGGUCGCGGGUUCGAGCCCCGUUUCCCGCU
rfam:Nitrospirae bacterium RIFCSPHIGHO2_02_FTLL_40_19 rifcsphigho2_02_scaffold_364487, whole genome shotgun sequence.